rnacentral:RNase_P_RNA from 1 species
GCUGCCGGACGGGUGGUCGCUUCCAAAAAUGGGAGAGGAAAGUCCGGUCUCCAUAGGGCAGCGUGCCGGCUAACGGCCGGGGUCUGGCAACAGAUACGGAUAGUGCCACAGAAAAUAUACCGCCCCGGCAACGGGGUAAGGGUGAAAUGGUGCGGUAAGAGCGCACCGCGGCAGAAGUAAUUCUGCCGGCAGGGAAAACCCCACGCGGAGCAAGACCAAAUAGGGGAGGAGGGGCUGCCCGCCCCGCUCAACUUCCGGGUAGGUCGCUGGAGCCGUACAGUAAUGUACGGCCAAGAUGAAUGAUCGCCGCCCGCAAGGGUACAGAAACCGGCUUAUAGUCCGGCAGCCUUA